GACGAACGCUGGCGGCGUGCUUAACACAUGCAAGUCGAACGGAAAGGCCCUGCUUUUGUGGGGUGCUCGAGUGGCGAACGGGUGAGUAACACGUGAGUAACCUGCCCUUGACUUUGGGAUAACUUCAGGAAACUGGGGCUAAUACCGGAUAGGAGCUCCUGCUGCAUGGUGGGGGUUGGAAAGUUUCGGCGGUUGGGGAUGGACUCGCGGCUUAUCAGCUUGUUGGUGGGGUAGUGGCUUACCAAGGCUUUGACGGGUAGCCGGCCUGAGAGGGUGACCGGCCACAGUGGGACUGAGGUACGGCCCAGACUCCUACGGGAGGCAGCAGGGGGGAAUAUUGCACAAUGGGCGGAAGCCUGAUGCAGCAACGCCGCGUGCGGGAUGACGGCCUUCGGGUUGUAAACCGCUUUCGCCUGUGACGAAGCGUGAGUGACGGUAAUGGGUAAAGAAGCACCGGCUAACUACGUG
rnacentral:rRNA from 1 species